rnacentral:rRNA from 1 species
GACGAACGCUGGCGGCGCGCCUAACACAUGCAAGUCGAACGGAGUCAAGAGGAGCUUGCUUUUCUUGACUUAGUGGCGAACGGGUGAGUAACGCGUGAGUAACCUGCCCUGGAGUGGGGGACAACAGUUGGAAACGACUGCUAAUACCGCAUAAGCCCACGGAUCCGCAUGGAUCUGCGGGAAAAGGAUUUAUUCGCUUCAGGAUGGACUCGCGUCCAAUUAGCUAGUUGGUGAGGUAACGGCCCACCAAGGCGACGAUUGGUAGCCGGACUGAGAGGUUGAACGGCCACAUUGGGACUGAGACACGGCCCAGACUCCUACGGGAGGCAGCAGUGGGGGAUAUUGCACAAUGGGGGAAACCCUGAUGCAGCGACGCCGCGUGGAGGAAGAAGGUUUUCGGAUUGUAAACUCCUGUCGUUAGGGACGAUAAUGACGGUACCUAACAAGAAAGCGCCGGCUAACUACGUG